CGCGUAGGCGGACUCUUAAGUUGUGGGUGAAAUUCCGAGGCUUAACCUCGGAACUGCCUGCAAAACUGGGAGUCUUGAGGUAUGGAGAGGGAAGUGGAAUUCCAGGUGUAGCGGUGAAAUGCGUAGAUAUCUGGAGGAACACCCGUGGCGAAGGCGGCUUCCUGGUCAUAUCCUGACGCUGAGGUGCGAAAGCUAGGGGAGCGAACGGGAUUAGAUACCCCGGUAGUCCUAGCCGUAAACGAUGGAUACUAGGUGUUAGAGGUAUCGACCCCUCUAGUGCCGCAGCUAACGCAUUAAGUAUCCCGCCUGGGGAGUACGACCGCAAGGUUGAA
rnacentral:rRNA from 1 species